ensembl:processed_transcript Gm13986 predicted gene 13986
GUGUUUCUUAACGUGACUCCCGAUAGGAGAAUUUGCUGAACCAUCUGGCUCCAGGAUCUUACACUAUUUACAGAACGGACCCGUAGAGUUAUAAAUUACUCUCUACCUAUUAUUUUAUUUCCCAUCUUUCUCCCUAAACAGUUUUUUUUUUCAUUUUUUCGGCUCCCAAAACCGAGGUGUGGUUUACAUUUCUGUGGGUAUACACUUUUCCAUCAGUAGACUGCUGCCUGAUCCUUUGUCUCUGAAGUCUGGUCUCAAUGCCAUCGGUCCGGAGCCAAGAUGACUCCAGCUGCCUGGAAUUCCAUUCAUCUCUUUGGGAAGGGACGUCAGCGGCGGCGAUGCUUCUCCAGCUGUGGCCCUGCGUGAGCAGGCUUGGCUCUGAGUCCAGGGAUCCAGAAAGGCAGGAAAUGGAGACAGGGGCCAACUGAGGGUGUUCAUUUCACAGUAGACAACUGCCCCAGCUCCUGAAGGCCACUCCCAUCUAGAAGUCACCCUUUAUGAUUUCAGCUCUCUGGCAUGUCGACCACAGGAGGCCAUCGGAAUGGAAGGCCUGAUCUGUUCAGCAUGGCCACUGGAAAAUAACAGAAAAAAAAAAAUCCUGCAAUGUUGCAUAAAAGCCAUGGCGCACCCAGGUCUGAAGAGUGGUUUGCAAGCUGCCGGGUUUCCUCAGGCGCUGGCAAGGUGAGUGUUAUUGGAACCCAUCUGUGUCUCAUUCUAAGCCCCUGUCUCCUAGUUUCUUCUCUGAAGGGAAGGUGUGAAGCACGAGAGCGCACAUUUCCUUCUUUCUUUGGACAUUCCCUCAUCUGCAGACCAUUAGCCAAUGGCUUGGUGUCCUCCUACCUCGCUACUGGGCCAGGGGAGAGGAAAUUGAAUGUAUAGGCAGAAAUGAUGCCUUGAUUUAAAAAGAACACAGCCAAAUGAAACCUGCAGGCCAACCCUCAGGCUGUUACCUGUUGGAUGAUGCUUUGUACGAAGGGACCCACACUGCUUGGACUGUGAUGUGACCUUCCUACUGAGGCCCACAGACAUGAAAUUGGGAAAAAAAAACCCAAUCAUUCCAAGUGGUACAUUUCCUUUGAUAGUUACUCUACCACCUGAGAGAGCCUUGGAGCCUCUGUUUACAUUGCAGCUGAGCUGAGUAAGCAAAAACGCAGUAGUUUAGCUCCUCCCUUCAGCCUCAACUGGCAUAAAUGAGCCAGCUGUCUGAUUUGUGAGGAUGUAUGUGGAUGCUAAACACUGUUGUCUGCUUCUGAGAUGGAGGCUCACUAAGAAUGGGAACAUGCCUCUGUGAACAUACAGCUCUCAGGGUAUAUUCCUCCUCUCCAUAGAUGUGUCUGUCUGUCUGGGAUGACCAAUGCUGGUUCCUGGUCUGACUCAGGUAUGGGAUGGCCUCUAUUCCACUUGUCAUACUGGGAGAGUGACAUGAAUCGAGUCUUAAUUGAUGUAGUGAUGAGACUCUGUCAAUUGGUGAUUUAGACAGUAGACAAUGUCCUGUUUGUCAUGGCUGUCCUUCUUCAUGAAGGACAUGUUGGAUAAUGGAUACAGGAAGUUAGUUUUCAGAUUUUUAGGAUGCCAGGCACCCCAUGGGUUGCUGUAUCCAUCCUCCCUCAUCUGCGGGGCAUUAACUGCCCAUGCGGAGAAGUUCUAACCCCUGAAAGGAAGUUUGCUUUUCUCAUUCUGGUUAAAACCCCUCCAGCUCUUACCAAAGGCUGUCGUUAGGAUGUCCAAAGAUGAAAAGAUGUGUAGAUGCCUAGCUGUGGUGGUGUGGAUAUAUACCAGGCUCUUUCCCAAGGAUUUUGUCUCCCUCUGAGUCUGUGAAAUCAUUUUCUCAUACUUUGGCCUUACCUUCCUGCCUCUUUCCUAAGGCUACUUUGGAGAGCUUUCAAUUCCAUUGUCCAUUGAAGUAAAUUCUGAUUCUAAUUGAGAGGGAAGUGUGGCAGAGUCACCAUAUUUGGAUAGAUUUGUUUUCCUUUGAAUUGAGAAGGAAGACUAGAGUGAGAAGGAGCCAGUGAUCAUUAACCCAAGUUUCUGCUCAGCUUGUGAAAGGACAUUUAGAAUUGCCAACUCAAAGAUGCUCCAGGCCAGAAGUAAUGCUUCUGUCUGAUAAGCCACGUGGCCAUGUAUGGAGGUGUCGAUAUGGUUCAAGAAAUACUAAACUUACAGCCUGAUGCUCUGGGUUCUUGGAAUGUUUGUCCAUUAUUAGCUGUAUGACUAGCAAGUCACAAUCUUACUUGAGGCACUGUUUCCUCCUCUGUCAAGUGUGGAUAAAACGCUUGUCUGGAUUACCUUAUGGGGUUAUUCUGAAAAUACAACAGGAUAUACUAAUCUGUGUUCAUGGCAGGGAUGUUGGAUAUGAAGUUACACAUGAAAGUCAAAUGUUCCAUCUCCUUCUAAGAGAUUAUUAUUCAACACAAUAAAUAAUUUUUUCCAGUCUGUGACAGCUACCAUUGACUCUCUGAUUGAAUGGUAGAUGAAGAAUUUGGCUCUCAUUUAAAGGAUGUGCUGU